UCCCCUGUAGCUCAAUUGGCAGAGCAGCCGACUGUUAAUCGGCAGGUUGAUGGUUCGAGUCCAUCCGGGGGAGCCA
rnacentral:tRNA from 2 species